UACGAAGGGGGCUAGCGUUGCUCGGAAUCACUGGGCGUAAAGCGCACGUAGGCGGCUUCUUAAGUCAGGGGUGAAAUCCUGGAGCUCAACUCCAGAACUGCCUUUGAUACUGAGAAGCUUGAGUCCGGGAGAGGUGAGUGGAACUGCGAGUGUAGAGGUGAAAUUCGUAGGUAUUCGCAAGAACACCAGUGGCGAAGGCGGCUCACUGGCCCGGUACUGACGCUGAGGUGCGAAAGCGUGGGGAGCAAACAGG
rnacentral:rRNA from 1 species